rnacentral:misc_RNA from 1 species
AACGCAUAUUGCACUCUCUGGUAUUCCGGAGAGUAUGCCUGUUUCAGCAUCAUCAAGCAAUGCUCAUGCUGACGUUUUUUUUUACUUUCGUCAGGAUGGAUUUGGGCUGCUUUGCUGAGCUCCGGAGGGUUUUUCUCCCUCCUUCAGCUAGCCUGAAAUGAAAAAGAAAGAUUUUCUUUUUUCUUCCCUCCCUUUGCAAUCCCUCAAGAAAGGCUGGAAGGCGUGAUAGUUGGCUUUUUCAAAAGGUCAUCCCUUUCGCCGAAGGAAGCAUCUUUCUGGGUUGGGGGGGAAAAAAAAGAAAAUCUUCUUUUUGCAGGAAUUCUUCAAAACAAUUUUUUUUAAAAAUCUUGAUCUGAAAUCAGGCAGGACUACCCGCUGAACUUAA